rnacentral:rRNA from 1 species
UAGGGAAUCUUCCACAAUGGACGCAAGUCUGAUGGAGCAACGCCGCGCGAGUGAAGAAGGCUUUCGGGUCGUAAAACUCUGUUAUUGAAGAAGAACGUGUGUGACAGUAACUGGUCAUGCAGUGACGGUAUUCAAUCAGAAAGUCACGGCUAACUACGUGCCAGCAGCCGCGGUAAUACGUAGGUGGCAAGCGUUGUCCGGAUUUAUUGGGCGUAAAGCGAGUGCAGGCGGUCUUUUAAGUCUGAUGUGAAAGCCUUCGGCUUAACCGAAGAAGGGCAUCGGAAACUGGGAGACUUGAGUGCAGAAGAGGAGAGUGGAACUCCAUGUGUAGCGGUGAAAUGCGUAGAUAUAUGGAAGAACACCAGUGGCGAAGGCGGCUCUCUGGUCUGUAACUGACGCUGAGGCUCGAAAGCGUGGGUAGCAAAACAGGAUUAG